AUUGAACGCUGGCGGCAGGCCUAACACAUGCAAGUCGAACGGUAACAGGAAGAAGCUUGCUUCUUUGCUGACGAGUGGCGGACGGGUGAGUAAUGUCUGGGGAACUGCCUGAUGGAGGGGGAUAACUACUGGAAACGGUAGCUAAUACCGCAUAACGUCGCAAGACCAAAGAGGGGGACCAUCGGGCCUCUUGCCAUCGGAUGUGCCCAGAUGGGAUUAGCUAGUAGGUGGGGUAACGGCUCACCUAGGCGACGAUCCCUAGCUGGUCUGAGAGGAUGACCAGCCACACUGGAACUGAGACACGGUCCAGACUCCUACGGGAGGCAGCAGUGGGGAAUAUUGCACAAUGGGCGCAAGCCUGAUGCGGCCAUGCCGCGUGUAUGAAGAAGGCCUUCGGGUUGUAAAGUACUUUCAGCGGGGAGGAAGGGAGUAAAGUUAAUACCUUUACUCAUUGACGUUACCCGCAGAAGAAGCACCGGCUAACUCCGUG
rnacentral:rRNA from 1 species